rnacentral:rRNA from 1 species
UACGGGGGGGGCAAGCGUUGUUCGGAAUUACUGGGCGUAAAGGGCUCGUAGGCGGCCAACUAAGUCAGACGUGAAAUCCCCAGGCUCAACUUGGGAACUGCGUCUGAUACUGGAUGGCUUGAAUCCGGGAGAGGGAUGCAGAAUUCCAGGUGUAGCGGUGAAAUGCGUAGAUAUCUGGAGGAAUACCGGUGGCGAAGGCGGCAUCCUGGACCGGGAUUGACACUGAGGAGCGAAAGCUAGGGGAGCAAACGGG